UCUCUUCCAAAAUCUUCCUCUUAUUAUUCCAAAACGGUUUCGAAAUCAUUUUUCCUUUCACACUCAGAACGAAUCUCCUUCCUCUCUCUCUCCGAGCCAAAACGGCAACGCCUCCACUCUUCUUCCCCGACGAACUACUCUGAUUCAUCCCCUCUGAUAGUCUUCCGCAUCCGUUCAUCGGUUUGGUUAUGUUGCUGAGGUGUUUUGUUCGCGUUUGAACCUGUGGUGUUUGGUUUUGAAUGUUUGAUGAUGAAUGUUGAGUUGAAACAGCUCUGAAUUGCCAAAGCUGGGUGAGAUCUUUCCGAGUUUAUGUUAUUUUCUCUUUAAUCUCUCUUCUUCUCUCUCAAACUUUCUCCAUUCAAAUGUGAUUUAGGUGUAUUAAUGUUGCCUAAUUUAGUUUUAUUUUUGGAAUGAAUUAAUAGGCCACCAAGUGUUUGUUAUAAUGAUUGAAGAUUGUUGGAGAAUAUUGAAAUCGGUGAUGGUGAUUAUGGAGAGAAGAUUUGAGAUAUGGAGGAGGAUUUGGGAAUCGCAAACUCUGUCCUCUGAUUCUGUUAUUUUGUUCCGGUUAUAAUGAUUUCCUCUCAUUUUCUGUUAUGGAAAUUGAGAUCCUCGCCGUCAUCUUCUUCCAAUUCUCCCCACCUUAUCUUUGCCGCUUCGUUUUGA